rnacentral:rRNA from 1 species
AGCAGCCGCGGUAAUUCCAGCUCCAAUAGCGUAUAUUAAAGUUGUUGCAGUUAAAAGCUCGUAGUUGAAUUUCAGGCCUGGCUGGACGGUCCGCCCUUCGGGUGAGUACUGUCUGUGGUCGGGUCCUACCUUCUGGCGAAGCGUCAUGGCCUUAACCGGCCGUGGCGGGGAACCAGGACUUUUACUGUGAAAAAUUAGAGUGUUCAAAGCAGGCAAUCGCUUGGAUACAUUAGCAUGGAAUAAUGGAAUAGGACAAUGGUUCUAUUUGUUGGUUUCUAGGACCGUUGUAAUGAUUAAUAGGGAUAGUUGGGGGCAUUAGUAUUCAAUUGUCAGAGGUGAAAUUCUUGGAUUUAUUGAAGACUAACUACUGCGAAAGCAUUUGCCAAGGAUGUUUUCAUUAAUCAAGAACGAAAGUUAGGGGAUCGAAGACGAUCAGAUACCGUCGUAGUCUUAACCAUAAACUAUGCCGACUAGGAAUCGGGCGAUGUUGAAAAAUGACGCGCUCGGCACCUCAUGGGAA